rnacentral:rRNA from 1 species
CCUACGGGAGGCAGCAGUGGGGAAUAUUGGACAAUGGGGGGAACCCUGAUCCAGCGACGCCGCGUGAGUGAUGAAGUAUUUCGGUAUGUAAAGCUCUAUCAGCAGGGAAGAAAAUGACGGUACCUGACUCAGAAGCCCCGGCUAACUACGUGCCAGCAGCCGCGGUAAUACGUAGGGGGCAAGCGUUAUCCGGAGUUACUGGGUGUAAAGGGAGCGUAGACGGUGCAGCAAGUCUGAUGUGAAAGGUCGGGGCCCAACCCCGGAAUUGCAGUGGAUACUGUUGAACUUGAGUACAGGAGAGGUAAGCGGAAUUCCUGGUGUAGCGGUGAAAUGCGUAGAUAUUAGGAAGAACACCAGUGGCGAAGGCGGCUUACUGGACUGUAACUGACGUUGAGGCUCGAAAGCGUGGGGAGCAAACAGGAUUAGAUACCCCAGUAGUC